rnacentral:rRNA from 1 species
UGGGGAAUUUUGGACAAUGGGCGCAAGCCUGAUCCAGCCAUGCCGCGUGUCUGAAGAAGGCCUUCGGGUUGUAAAGGACUUUUGUCAGGGAAGAAAAGGCUGUUGCUAAUAUCAGCGGCUGAUGACGGUACCUGAAGAAUAAGCACCGGCUAACUACGUGCCAGCAGCCGCGGUAAUACGUAGGGUGCGAGCGUUAAUCGGAAUUACUGGGCGUAAAGCGAGCGCAGACGGUUACUUAAGCAGGAUGUGAAAUCCCCGGGCUCAACCUGGGAACUGCGUUCUGAACUGGGUGACUAGAGUGUGUCAGAGGGAGGUAGAAUUCCACGUGUAGCAGUGAAAUGCGUAGAGAUGUGGAGGAAUACCGAUGGCGAAGGCAGCCUCCUGGGAUAACACUGACGUUCAUGCUCGAAAGCGUGGGUAGCAAACAGGAUUAGAUACCCUGGUAGUCCACGCCCUAAACGAUGUCAAUUAGCUGUUGGGCAACUUGAUUGUUCAGUAGCGUAGCUAACGCGUGAAAUUGACCGCCUGGGGAGUACGGUCGCAAGAUUA